AAGUGUAUCACAAAUUCUACCUCUAUCUACAGAUUUUUGUAUACAAAUAACAUUAAAUUUAAUAAAUAAAUAAAAAAAAAUAAUUUUAACUAUAAAUAAUC